AGCCAUGCAUGUCUGAGUACAAGCCUCACUAAGGUGAAACCGCGAAUGGCUCAUUAAAUCACACCUAAUCUACUGGAUAGUAAACAGUUACUUGGAUAACUGCCGUAAUUCUGGAGCUAAUACAUGCAUAAAGCCCCGACUCACGAAGGGGCGCUUUUAUUAGAUCAAAACCAAACGGCUUCSGCUGUACUUUUGGUGAUUCUGAAUAACUUUGGGCUGAUCGCAUAGCCUUGCGCUGGCGACAUAUCCUUCGAAGGUGUGCCCUAUCAACUGUCGACUGUGGCAUAGACGCCCACAGUGGUUUUGACGGGUAACGGGGAAUCAGGGUUCGAUUCCGGAGAGGGAGCCUUAAAAACGGCUACCACAUCUAAGGAAGGCAGCAGGCACGCAAAUUACCCAAUGACCGAAGGUCGAGGUAGUGACGAAAAAUAACGAUAGCGGUCUCAUCCGAGGUACGCUAAUUGGAAUGAGUACACUUUAAAACCGUCCCCGAGGAUCUAUUGGAGGGCAAGUCUGGU
rnacentral:rRNA from 1 species